rnacentral:rRNA from 1 species
AAACAACGCUGGCGGCGUGCCUCAGACAUGCAAGUCGAACGCGAAAGCCCCCUUCGGGGGGCAAGUAGAGUGGCGCACGGGUGAGUAACACGUAGGUAAUCUACCUUUGGAUGGGGAAUAACAACCGGAAACGGUUGCUAAUACCGCAUAAUGCAGCGGCACCUAAUGGUGACAGUUGUUAAAGCGGGGGAUCGCAAGACCUCGCGUCUGAAGAGGAGCCUGCGGCGGAUUAGCUAGUUGGUAGGGUAACGGCUUACCAAGGCGAUGAUCCGUAGCCGGCCUGAGAGGGCGGUCGGCCACACUGACACUGACAUACGGGUCAGACUCCUACGGGAGGCAGCAGUCGGGAAUUUUGGGCAAUGGGCGAAAGCCUGACCCAGCAACGCCGCGUGAAGGAUGAAAUCCCUCGGGAUGUAAACUUCGCAAGAACGGGAAGAAUAAGUCUGCGCAAAUAUCGCAGAUGAUGACGGUACCGUUUGUAAGCUCCGGCUAACUCCGUGCCAGCAGCCG